rnacentral:rRNA from 1 species
ACAGAGGCCUCGAGCGUUGUUCGGAUUCAUUGGGCGUAAAGCGCGCGUAGGCGGAUCUGCAAGUCGGGGGUGAAAUCCCGAGGCUCAACCUCGGAACUGCCUUCGAUACUGCGGGUCUCGAGUCCGGGAGAGGUGAGUGGAAUUCCUAGUGUAGAGGUGAAAUUCGUAGAUAUUAGGAAGAACACCAGUGGCGAAGGCGGCUCACUGGCCCGGUACUGACGCUGAGGCGCGAAAGCGUGGGGAGCAAACAGGA